GCAGCAUUGUAGCUAAUACAAGUUUCUGUGUAUUCAUUUGGGCCCUAACUCAGCAGGCGGCUGGCAUAAAGCACACAUGUGGCGAUGGGGCCCGGCAGCUUAUGGCGGAAAGAUUUAUCGUAACAGAGCACAAAGCACACAUCACUCAGUACAACUGUACCCAGUAUUCUACUAAGCAGUACUGAGCAUAAUAUAUACAUAGUACCACAUAGACCAGGAGAAAUGAAUGGAAUAUCGGGGGGAACAAUGCAGCAGACAAGGAAAUGACUGUGGUUCAGAGGGCACAUAGUUUUGAUUAUAUAGGAGGGGAGGCAGAAAUCAAAUGUCCAGAGUCCUCUUCAGUCACUUUUUUUUGUUUUUGUUUUUCGAGAUAGGGUUUCUCUGUGUAGCUUUAGAGCCUAUCCUGGCACUCCUCUGGAGAACACGCUGACCUUGAAUUCACAGAGAUCUGCCUGCGUCUGCCUCCCGAGUGCUGGGAUUAAAGGUGUGUGCCACCAGCACCCUGCUUCUUCAAUCACUUUUAACUUAUCUUUUGAAACAGGAACAUCUCACAAAAACCUAGGUCUAACUAGAUUGGAUGUCCAGCAAGCCCCAGAGACUCACCCACCUCAACCACCACAUUACUGAAAAGACAAGCAUGUAUCUCACACCUAGUUUUAUGCUACAGAUUCAAAUAAGGUCCUCAUGCUCGACCAACAAACACUUUAUAGUGCCGAAUAGACUGAAACAUCUCCCCAAGCCCUCUAAUUUUGUUUUUGAGAGUAAGAAAUGUAUGUCCACCAAAAAUCAAGUGUACACUUUGGGGGAGUAAUACAAUAGAGAACUGACAUCAAUAUACAGACUUCCCGAGAAGUGUAGAUAGAUAGAAAGACCAAAGAUUGAUAGAAUCAUUCCAGAGUUAUGUGAAAGGCUAGAAAGGAAUGCAUGGUCUAAUGUCCCAGUCAUGAGGAUAGAGAUGAGUCACAGUGAGACCUUCUUUGCAAAUGUAAGUGGCCCACCCCUCAUUUAUCAUACUAAAGACAAAGGACCUUUCAUAUCCAAGGACACAUUUCUUCAGGCACUAGAUGUCACUGUUCCACUUAAGCAAAGCAGCCAUCAGUCAUCAUGAGUCACAUUGCAUUUAUCUAAUCAGAAUUACCUGUGUGCAGAUCUGAGCCAACUUGACUUGCUUCACGGGCUUUCAAAACAAAGCAAAAGGGAUUUGGAACAAAAGUAGUGGAAAGAAAAACUAGCUUUAUAUUUCUUCAGGCAUAUUCACCACAUUUUGUUGCAAGUAAACUAAAAGUUAAGAAUUAAUUCAAUAGGAAAAUUAUGUAUAUAACCUUAAGGAAUAGAACUUCUACCAUAUAAGAAAAGGCACAAUGCUAUUUUAAACAACAAAAUUCAAACAGUGUCUUCAGACUGUGUAUGUCUAUAUGUCUGAUGAAACUAUCUUCAGAGAACAUAUUUAAGAGUACUUCCAUAGCAUAUGUAAAUCCCCUCACUUCCAGAAAGCAGGUUGGGAGAAGGAAGAGAGAGGCAGGAGUAGGGGAAAGAAGAGAAAAGGGAGUAGAGGAGAGACAGGGAGUAGGAAAGCAGUGAGGGGGUGGGGAAAAAAGGAGGGGAUCAGUGGCAGAAGGGGCAAACAGAUUUUUAAAAAUCUAUCCAGAAACCCAUUGUUGACAUUUUGAAUUCAUUUUUUUUUAUAUUUUCCACUGAACUUAUUCACAAAGAUACAGUCAAUUUCAUCAUAUGUCUGAUCAAUUACAUGUUCCUUGGGCCCUUGAAUCUUAAAAGGAAGGGUGCAGGGUGGUUGAAUUCUUUUUUCAGUAGAGGAGGGGUGCUAUAGUGAUACUGAAAAGAUUAUUCUUGCAAAUGACUUGCAUGGUGAACUUUCUGCUCAUUGUUUUAGAAGCACUGAUUCCUGAGUGUUUCUGAGCCUGACUUUCCAGCUUCAUUUCAGAUCCAUGAGCCUCCCAUCCCCAAGCCACCAGAACCCCAACACACACACACACACACACACACACACACACACACACACACACACAUUUUCUUUUUCCAUGUAGAAGCCACAGCCAAUUUCUUUAGCUAGCAAUCACAUCACACAAAACAAAAAAUUUGGUACAAAGUUUGGCAAACAAUGCAUGAACCAUGCCAAUAUUGACUAUUCACUUUGCCCUGUCAAGCUCCUGUUUGGUAACCAUCUAGACUAUAGAGGAAUACAAAGGAAAAGUUCCUCAAAAAAAAAAAAAGAAAUUGUUUUUUAAUGUACCUGGUUGCUAAAGAUCUCAGAUCUUAAGUGUAGCAGAGUGUUCUCUCUAUAGUUUCCAGGAACUUAACUCUCCUUAACCUGGAAGAUUAAUUUAGACAGUGGGGUUUUGAUGCUCUGUAUGGUGUCACUUUGAGUGAUCCAAAGAAGCAACAGAAGAGAAAACAAAACUUUGGCUGGUAAAUAUUCCACAAAAGCAAUAGGAAUACAUGCUUGAAACUCUAGAAUUGACCGAGGGUCCAAUAUUGGGAAGAAAAAAAUAUAUAGUUUAGGCAUCAGCUUAUUGCCUGAAUCUUGAUGUUAUGAUAUCUUUCCAAGCAACAACCUGGUGUGUAAAAAUACAAGGGAGUUUAGCUGCAGGCAGGCUGUGGUGAUAUCUCCAACUCAGUUGUUAUGCUAACUUAGAUAAUUUAUGAGUUCAUUAAUUCUUGGUUUUCUCAUACUGAAAUUGCUGCUUCUCUGGAUGAUGGGGAAGUCGACUAAUUUGGAUUCUUUACCAUCAGUUCUCUUUACCAUCCCCUCUCUUUCUCUCAUCCACUCCAGAGUCUGGUCUGGAGAACUUAGAUCUCGAUACCCCAAAUAAAAAGUCUUUAUUAUCCCUUUGGCAAAAUGAAUGACAAAGACAACUUCAGACAGUUUGGUUUACCAUCUGAGGAUCCAGUUCCCCAUGACUGGAAAGGUGUGGCAGUGUGAGUGGCCCUAGCUGUGCUGGCAGGAGAGUGAGGCCGCUGGUCACACUAAGUCCACUUUCAGAAAACAGAGAAAAAUAAAUGUUGGUGUUCAGCUUGCUUUCUUUUCCCUUUGUAUCCAGUCCAAGGCCCAAACCCAUGGAAUGGUGCUAAGAUGGGUCCUCAUUUCUGGUUAAACCCUUAUGGAAACAGCAGUGCAGACACUCCUAGAGGUGUGUCUCGUAGGUGAGUCCAAAUCCAGUGAAUCCGACAACAAAGAUGAAUAAUCAAACUGGGAGUGACUAUCAUAAACAUAUUCUUUACAAAUCAAACAAGCACUGACUUUCAACCUUCAGAGAAUCUUACCAAUCUUAUAUGUAGCAGGAAAGAACAAAUACAGAUUCUUUCAGGUCUUUUCUGAGUAUACAGAUAAUACAUAACUGGAAGAAAACAUACAUUUAACAAAUGCUGUAUUUCCCACUUAGGCUGAUCAAUAUUUCAUAUUACAAAAGAAAACAUGAUUGGACAGUAUAAUCCAAUAAAAAGUGUUUGUGACACAAUGAUUCUUACCCAGAUUAUUUGCAUCUUAAUUUUAAUCCUCAUUAACAUAAAUAAGGUUAUUCUUCACUGGUGUGUUUUUUACACAGAGGAACAUUCCAGAUUCUGGCACUUGAAUAACAUACAACAAAUAUCCCCUAUGUAAAGAGAUGGAGUUGUUAAACCCACAAAGACUCCAAAGGCAGACCUGUCUGGAGGCACAGUAAUGUUCAAUUCUUUACAUUGCUGUGGUUUAAAAAUUUGAAACUGUUGCCAGGUGGUGGUGGUGCAUGCCUUUAAUCCCAGCACUGGGGAGGCAAAGGCAGUUGGAUAUCUAUGAGUUUGGAGCCAGGCUGGUCAACAAACCUAUCAGAGAAACCCUGUCUUGAAAAAAAAUUUAAAGAUGAAACUGAAGAGAAGUAUAGAAUAAAAUACCUUUUUUUUUUUUUUCUAAUUCAGCCAGGUAGGACUAGAAGUUGAAUCACUGUUUUCACUAACUAAUAUCCUCUUUCUUGCUCUUAUGACCCUCAUGCCCCCUCUCUCUCAUAUAUAAACAUUUCACAAAAUGUAAUUAUUCAAUGUGUAUGUGACAUAGUCCAGAUACAUGGUAGAUUUAUAUGAAGUGAAUAUUAGACAGAAUAUCCACAUAAUUCCUAUGGACUAUAUUCCUAUUUUAUAACUAAAGAACUUCUGGUACAUUAUGCUAUUUAUUAUUUGUGAGCAUUGGUCUUUGAAGAGGGCAAUUCACAGAAUUUAGAUAAGGGGAGCUAUAAGUAAUAUUACUAAUUGCUCAUUUUUCCUUCUGUCUGAAAGGAUCAUUACAGAGAAUAAAAUCGAAGCAACCUGCCUGAAAUGAUUGUACUUUAUAUCAGAAAGAAAGAUGCUCUUCCCUACAAAUGCUGUCGGGGGGACUAAUGUCUAAGUAACUUCUUAAGAGCUACAGAAAGCAAGCUGAGGUUGGAGUUUCAAGUCUAGUCCACAAAGAAAAUAAAACCGUAGGAAAGAAAUUGAUGAAAUAAUUUUAAAGAAACAUGGAUGUCGGGAUUGUGUCAUUCCUCUGUAGCCAGGAGGCAACAGGUCAUACAGAUUUUUUUAAUCUUUAAUUUUAAUGAAAAAAAUAACAUUUGAAGAAAUCUCAACAAUUAACAGUUUCUUCUCAUCUUUAGGAUUUAACAAUAUUUGUUAUCUAUGCUCACAAGAAAAACAGACUACUGCUUGUGCUGAGAAUUUAAGAAUAUGUUUGAUCUUUCAGACCCUCUUGAUUCAGAACUAUCUAUGGCCUGGACUACUACAGGAUUGUAUCUUUUUCUUGGUAAAAUAAUUUUUGUUAAAUUGAAUAUUUUAACAUGUAAGCUCUCUAAUUUUUUUACAUAUUUUUUGAUUCUUUGAGAAUUUUACAUCAUUCACCCAAUUCCCACUCAUUUCCCAGUCCCUCCAUAUCCUCCUUUCACCCUUGACAUGCCUCCCCCACAAAAAAAAUCAUUUGAAACAAUCAAACAAAACAAAACAAAAAACCACUUUGCUCCUCCAACUUCCUGCCUCUUCAUAACUCUUCAUUCAUCCUAACAGCACUUGGAAAAGCAGUUUGUCCAAACAGCUUUACUUGCAAAUGUUCACUGCAAUGAGUUGUUGGCCUGGCUCAAGGCCUCUGGCUUCUGAUACCUAACCAAAACUGGACCUUCACUGAAAUACCUCUCUGAUUUCCUGAUGUUGCCCAAGCCAUGGAGAUCUUGUAGCUGUGGUUUGGCAGAACAAGUCCCUUCACAACCUCCAGACGUCAUGGAUGGGGUAGAUAUUGAGAUAAGUAGAGCUCUCACUCUUCAUCAAAGAAACUUAUUUUCACAGCUGCCAGAUAUAGAAAUCCACAAUUGGCCAAAACACAGAGACCUGACCAUGUGAAGCCCAAUCUGAAUGGAUCCAUCUACAAUAAACCCCCAUACCUAAGGGAUUCUCUGCAGCUUUGGAGUCUGUCCUGGAACUCGAUCUGUAAACCAGGCUGGACCCUA